rnacentral:rRNA from 1 species
UACGGGGGGGGCAAGCGUUGGUUCGGAAUUACUGGGCGUAAAGGGCUCGUAGGCGGCCAACUAAGUCGGACGUGAAAUCCCUCGGCUUAACCGGGGAACUGCAUCCGAUACUGGAAGGCUCGAGUUUGGGAGAGGGAUGCGGAAUUCCGAGGUGUAGCGGUGAAAUGCGUAGAUAUCUGGAGGACACCGGUGGCGAAGGCGGCAAUCCUGGACCAACACGUGACGCUGAGGAGCGAAAGCCAGGGAGCAAACGGG